GAAACCGGGGCUAAUACCGGAUAACGCAUCGAACCGCAUGGUUCGAUGAUCAAAGAUGGCUUCUAGCUAUCACUCACAGAUGGGCCCGCGGCGCAUUAGUUAGUUGGUGAGGUAACGGCUCACCAAGGCGACGAUGCGUAGCCGACCUGAGAGGGUGAUCGGCCACACUGGGACUGAGACACGGCCCAGACUCCUACGGGAGGCAGCAGUAGGGAAUCAUCCGCAAUGGACGCAAGUCUGACGGUGCAACGCCGCGUGAGCGAUGAAGGUCUUCGGAUCGUAAAGCUCUGUUGUGAGGGAAGAACAAGUGCCGUUCGAAUAGGGCGGCACCUUGACGGUACCUCACCAGAAAGCCCCGGCUAACUACGUGCCAGCAGCCGCGGUAAUACGUAGGGGGCAAGCGUUGUCCGGAAUUAUUGGGCGUAAAG
rnacentral:rRNA from 1 species